UGCGAUAAAGAUUUUUUUGUAUUUAUUUACUGAAUAUCACUAUUAAUAUAUCGGUAAUCUUACUAAAAAAUAACAAUGAAACAAAUAAACAAUCUAAGAAAGAAGAAAAAAAAUAUCAAAUUAAGCAAUGAGUUUAAUAGUAGCAACAAAACAAACUCAAUCUAAAAUUAAGCAAUCACAACUAAUCACCUAAUAAGCAACCAAGAGGGAAAAAAAAACUUGCUGACCUGUAAUAGCACUCACAACCUGUAAUUAAAAUUCAAGCAGAGAAGAAAAGAAAAUACAAAAAUAAAUAAAUUCUAACCUGUAAUCGUUAAUCCUGAAGAACACAACUACAAAAACCUGUGGUUUUCAAAGAACAACUACCAAAAGAAAACUACAAAGAAAUUGCAACCACGCAAUUCAAUUCCAUUCAACAAACUCAGAAAUAAAUCUCACUCGAAUCCAGUAAAAUUCCGUAUCCGGAAAAAUAAAAUCGACAAUCGAAAACUAACUCGACGAAAUCCAACUUGCAAAAUAGAGAGUAAAAAAAAAAUCGGAACAGAAGAUGAGAAAUCGGGAAAAAAAAAAUCGUCAGAAGAUGAGAUCGAUAAUGCAAAAUUGAUACCAAGAUCAACUGUAAUCAAACAGAACCGCUGUAAAUCGACACCGCAAAAAUCAACACCGCUGUAAAUCGUAUGAACUAAAUCAACACCGUUGUAAAUCAACACUGCUGUAAAUCGUAUGAACUAAAUCAGAAAUCGCAAGCAGACGAUCGCGCAUGAAAUCAAAACCGACGAUCGCAAGCAGAUGAUCGCAAGCAGGUGAUCAAAGCAGACGAUCGCAAGCAAACGAUCAGAAAUCGCAGUCACGCACAAUCAGAAAAUUGACGAUCACGCACGAAAAAGAAUCGCAAUCAAAUCGUAAUCAAAAUAAAAUAAAAAAUUCGAAAACAAAACAAAACUCGAUCAGAUCGGAAAUCAAAACUCGAUCAGAAUCCGAUCAGAAAGAAUAUCACAAUCAAGAUUUAAGAUUAACAAAAUCAAGAUCUAAAAUUAACUAAAUCAAGAUCUGAAAUUAAAAUCUAAAAUCAAACCUGAGAAGAAUCGACGCGGAAGACAAGCGCAGAUCCGACACGAACGCGGGAAAAUCGCAGAGGCGCUCGCGGGAGGGAUCGCAGUGACUCAGAUGAAUCUGCAACUUCCAGCAGAUCUGCAAAUCCAGCGAAGAGAAACAAUCGCCAAUCGGGAAUCCAAAAAAUCACACGGAAUCGCGGAAGAAGACGAUCUCGCGGAGGAAGACGAUCAAUGAAGCUAGAAAAACUGAUAUCAUCUCAGAAAUGCUUGACAUUGAUUUGAAUUGGAAAAAUUGAUGAUUUAAUCUCUAAUAGUACGGAGUCUCGGAUCAACAGAUCGUAGUUCGAUCCUUGAUACCAAAAACGAGGCAGCGUAGCUUUAAAGAAAUUACAGUCCUAAUUAUUUAUUCUUAUUUGACUCACCCUCUUCUAAUUCUUCUUCCUUGUCAGCAUCAUUCUCUUAAUCUAUAACUUGUUCAUAAUCUUCUAUAUCAGAUGUUGAAUUGGAAUCUGCUUCAACUAGCUUUUUCAUGACUGGAGGGAGAACUGAUCAGGAGUGCUUCAAUCUACCUCAAUGACUCUUCAAUAAAAAAAUUCGACGUGUUUCUUGUUGUUCAUUUUAUCUUAAAUUCUCAAUUGCGAAUUUCCAAUAGACAUUAUUUCUUGAAUUGUUGUGUUUGAAAAUUUAAAUUUACUACCAAAUAGAAAAUGCUAC
rnacentral:lncRNA from 1 species